GGGUUGUGAGGUUAAGCGACUAAGCGUACACGGUGGAUGCCUAGGCAGUCAGAGGCGAUGAAGGGCGUGCUAAUCUGCGAUAAGCGUCGGUAAGCUGAUAUGAAGCGUUAUACCCGACGAUACCCGAAUGGGGAAACCCAGUGUGUUUCGACACACUAUCAUGACAUGAAUACAUAGUGUCAUGAGGCGAACCGGGGGAACUGAAACAUCUCAGUACCCCGAGGAAAAGAAAUCAACCGAGAUUCCCCCAGUAGCGGCGAGCGAACGGGGAGGAGCCCAGAACCUGAAUCAGUUUGUGUGUUAGUGGAAGCGUCUGGAAAGUCGCACAGUAAAGGGUGAUAGUCCCGUACACAAAAAUGCACAAGCUGUGAGUUCGAUGAGUAGGGCGGGACACGUGACAUCCUGUCUGAAUAUGGGGGGACCAUCCUCCAAGGCUAAAUACUCCUGACUGACCGAUAGUGAACCAGUACCGUGAGGGAAAGGCGAAAAGAACCCCGGCGAGGGGAGUGAAAUAGAACCUGAAACCGUGUACGUACAAGCAGUGGGAGCCUACUUGUUAGGUGACUGCGUACCUUUUGUAUAAUGGGUCAGCGACUUAUAUUCUGUAGCAAGGUUAACCGUAUAGGGGAGCCGCAGGGAAACCGAGUCUUAACUGGGCGUUAAGUUGCAGGGUAUAGACCCGAAACCCGGUGAUCUAGCCAUGGGCAGGUUGAAGGUUGGGUAACACUAACUGGAGGACCGAACCGACUAAUGUUGAAAAAUUAGCGGAUGACUUGUGGCUGGGGGUGAAAGGCCAAUCAAACCGGGAGAUAGCUGGUUCUCCCCGAAAGCUAUUUAGGUAGCGCCUCGUGAACUCAUCUUCGGGGGUAGAGCACUGUUUCGGCUAGGGGGUCAUCCCGACUUACCAACCCGAUGCAAACUACGAAUACCGAAGAAUGUUAUCACGGGAGACACACGGCGGGUGCUAACGUUCGUCGUGAAGAGGGAAACAACCCAGACCGCCAGCUAAGGUCCCAAAGUCAUGGUUAAGUGGGAAACGAUGUGGGAAGGCACAGACAGCCAGGAUGUUGGCUUAGAAGCAGCCAUCAUUUAAAGAAAGCGUAAUAGCUCACUGGUCGAGUCGGCCUGCGCGGAAGAUGUAACGGGGCUAAACCAUGCACCGAAGCUGCGGCAGCGACACUUAGGUGUUGUUGGGUAGGGGAGCGUUCUGUAAGCCGUCGAAGGUGGCCUGUGAGGGCUGCUGGAGGUAUCAGAAGUGCGAAUGCUGACAUAAGUAACGAUAAUGCGGGUGAAAAACCCGCACGCCGGAAGACCAAGGGUUCCUGUCCAACGUUAAUCGGGGCAGGGUGAGUCGACCCCUAAGGCGAGGCUGAAAAGCGUAGUCGAUGGGAAACAGGUUAAUAUUCCUGUACUCGGUGUUACUGCGAAGGGGGGACGGAGAAAGCUAGGUUAUCCGGGCGACGGUUGUCCCGGUUUAAGCGUGAAGGUGGAUGACUUUGGUAAAUCCGGGUCGUCAUUAACACUGAGGCGUGAUGACGAGUCACUACGGUGAUGAAGUAACUAAUGCUACGCUUCCAGGAAAAGCCUCUAAGCUCCAGGUAACAUCAAAUCGUACCCCAAACCGACACAGGUGGUCAGGUAGAGAAUACUCAGGCGCUUGAGAGAACUCGGGUGAAGGAACUAGGCAAAAUGGUGCCGUAACUUCGGGAGAAGGCACGCUGAUGGUAAGUGAAGUGACUUGCUCACGGAGCUGAAAUCAGUCGAAGAUACCAGCUGGCUGCAACUGUUUAAUAAAAACACAGCACUGUGCAAACACGAAAGUGGACGUAUACGGUGUGACGCCUGCCCGGUGCCGGAAGGUUAAUUGAUGGGGUCAGCCGCAAGGCGAAGCUCUUGAUCGAAGCCCCGGUAAACGGCGGCCGUAACUAUAACGGUCCUAAGGUAGCGAAAUUCCUUGUCGGGUAAGUUCCGACCUGCACGAAUGGCGUAAUGAUGGCCAGGCUGUCUCCACCCGAGACUCAGUGAAAUUGAACUCGCUGUGAAGAUGCAGUGUACCCGCGGCAAGACGGAAAGACCCCGUGAACCUUUACUAUAGCUUGACACUGAACCUUGAGCCUUGAUGUGUAGGAUAGGUGGGAGGCUUUGAAGCGUGGACGCCAGUCUGCGUGGAGCCAACCUUGAAAUACCACCCUUUAAUGUUUGAUGUUCUAACGUGGACCCGUAAUCCGGGUUGCGGACAGUGUCUGGUGGGUAGUUUGACUGGGGCGGUCUCCUCCCAAAGCGUAACGGAGGAGCACGAAGGUUAGCUAAUCCUGGUCGGACAUCAGGAGGUUAGUGCAAAGGCAUAAGCUAGCUUGACUGCGAGAGUGACAGCUCGAGCAGGUGCGAAAGCAGGUCUUAGUGAUCCGGUGGUUCUGAAUGGAAGGGCCAUCGCUCAACGGAUAAAAGGUACUCCGGGGAUAACAGGCUGAUACCGCCCAAGAGUUCAUAUCGACGGCGGUGUUUGGCACCUCGAUGUCGGCUCAUCACAUCCUGGGGCUGAAGUAGGUCCCAAGGGUAUGGCUGUUCGCCAUUUAAAGUGGUACGCGAGCUGGGUUUAGAACGUCGUGAGACAGUUCGGUCCCUAUCUGCCGUGGGCGUUGGAAGAUUGAGAGGGGUUGCUCCUAGUACGAGAGGACCGGAGUGAACGCACCACUGGUGUACGGGUUGUGAUGCCAAUUGCAUUGCCCGGUAGCUAAGUGCGGAAGAGAUAACCGCUGAAAGCAUCUAAGCGGGAAACUUGCCUCGAGAUGAGUCUUCCCUGGGCACUAGAUGCCCCUGAAGGGCCGUUGAAGACGACGACGUAGAUAGGCUGGGUGUGUAAGCGUAGCGAUACGUUGAGCUAACCAGUACUAAUGACCCGAGAGGCUUAACCUUACAACACCGAAGGUGUUU
rnacentral:rRNA from 2 species